AGACGCGUUCAGAGUGAAAGAGGAGGAGGAUGUUAGUUAAAAAAGAGGAAGAGAAAGAGGAUGCAGUUUUUGAUGUGAAAGAGGAGGAGGGGGAGAUGACUAUCACAUCGGAAAAAGGAGGAGGAAGAAGAGGAGGAAACUGGAUAUCUGGGCCCAGUUUCCCAAACGCAUCCAAUAGUUCUAAUGACGAACUUGGCCAUAAGAUGGUUUUGAGAAACCGGGCCCUGAUUAACACUACAGUGAAAAAGAAUACCCACAGACAAGGCACGGGUGGUGGGUCACCAAAGGCUGACCUUACCCCAGCAGAGGACAUGGCCUUGGAGCUAAAUAAAGGCAGGCCCGUCUUAGAGGGGAUCCCUGGGGGGAAAGAGACGAGCAUAGGUUCCUCCCAAGAUGCCACCCGCUUCAUUCAAGUGUCUGGCAGCACUGUGUUCCUGUUAGAGCCACCAGCACAAGCACCAGACGAUGCUGAUCCAGGUGAAGGCCCCAGUGCAGCAGCAACAGCACAUGAUGGAGACGAUGAUGAGGAGGAGACCAUCUCUCUGGAUUCCAGAAGGCAUGAGGACCCAGAUGCUAUACAGUGGGAAAACCAGCCUGGCAACAUAAGCUCACAAGCUAUCAGAAAGUUGUAUGGCAACCACCUCCGACGCCAAAUAGAACUGGCAGACAUAGACAUUCAGUACAAGAAGAAAAGAUGGAAAAUCUUGCACUGGAGUCCGAAAUAAAAAAGAGGACAAUUAGGAAACUGGACCUUGAAAUAAAAAAACUUGAGAGGGAGCUCCAAGAAGAUGACACAGCUCAAAAUAAAAAUUAGGUAUAUUCUCGUAAAGUCAAGUGAGCCAU